rnacentral:tRNA from 4 species
UUAUAGUAAAUGACUACUUAACUACUUAUAUUAAAUUACUAUUUAAUAUUAAAUGAAUAUUAAAUUAAG